AACUUUGAACCAGAUGCUCCCAACAUAUACAUACAUCAAAUAAAUCUUAACAUAGUCACAAAAUAGCUCAAAAUGUAGGGGGAAACGUGAAACAACAGCCCCCUCAACAAAACAGUCCAAUACCAUUUUGGAAGCACAUAAGAUCAUAUAAGGAUACUUGUUUCCAAAGAACUAGCAAAACAGUCCAGCAACCUUGGCAACCAUAUACACACUAUAACAUGUUAAUAACCUCAACUUUA
rnacentral:lncRNA from 1 species